rnacentral:rRNA from 1 species
GACGAACGCUGGCGGCGUGCUUAACACAUGCAAGUCGAACGCUGAAGCACCAGCUUGCUGGUGUGGAUGAGUGGCGAACGGGUGAGUAAUACGUGAGUAACCUGCCCUUGACUCUGGGAUAAGCCCGGGAAACUGGGUCUAAUACUGGAUGCUACAUGUCACCGCAUGGUGGUGUGUGGAAAGGGUUUACUGGUCUUGGAUGGGCUCACGGCCUAUCAGCUUGUUGGUGAGGUAAUGGCUCACCAAGGCGACGACGGGUAGCCGGCCUGAGAGGGUGACCGGCCACACUGGGACUGAGACACGGCCCAGACUCCUACGGGAGGCAGCAGUGGGGAAUAUUGCACAAUGGGCGAAAGCCUGAUGCAGCGACGCCGCGUGAGGGAGGACGGCCUUCGGGUUGGAAACCUCUUUCAGCAGGGAAGAAGCCACAAGUGACGGUACCUGCAGAAGAAGCGCCGGCUAACUACGUG